UCUUGCUCUGUCACCCAGGCUGGAGUGCAGUGGCAUGAUCUCAGCUUACUGCAACCUCUGCCUCCCAGGUUCAAGUGAUUCUCCUGCCUCAGCCUCCCAAGUAGCUGGGAUUACAGAUGUUGUGGAUUGGCUGUAACUCUGCUCUGGGAUCCAGGCUGAAGGAGCAGGCUCUAUCUGGAACAUUACUAGUCUCCAGGCAGAAGAAAAAGAGACAAUGGAAUGGAUGAUUGAAUGGAUGAAUGAACUCCACAGGAAGAUGAGGAAAGCCUUUAUGGAUGGAGUGAGCUUGCAGCAGAGUCUCAAAGGAAGAAAUAAAACAAACUUCUACAUGGCAAAAUAAACCUCUACAUGGCAAAAUAAACCUCUACAUGGCAAAAUAAACCUCUACAUGGAUAGAGAUCUGUCUCAGACACAUUUUGGUUUCCAUGACUUCUGAAUGGCAGCAUGAGGAGCUCCAUGAACCCUCUCCCCAGUGAAAUGACCAUAAUCUCUGGAAAUUGCUUAAGAUCAAAGCCACAACUAUUUAAAGCCUUUGGAAAUUGUUUUAUGGGGAUGCGGCA
rnacentral:lncRNA from 1 species